AUGCUCGUGUGCCUCCUCCAGAAUCUAUGGGAAUUCUGUAAUUCUAGGGUUCCACGAUGCUGAUGCUGUGAUUCUGAGAUUCUAUCAUUCAUUCGCUGAUUCUCUGAGUCCAUCCAGCACACACAGCUGUGCACAGAAGCAGCCGUUUGCACAUCACUCCAUUUCCUUCCCCUCCUUGGCAUCACCCGGCUCUGGGAACACCCAUUUCAGAUCAGCCUCCUGCAGGCAGCGAGGUUCUGCCCAUCGGCAUUAUCAGAGGGCGGGUGUUGGCUCACCAGGGGUGAGGACGCAGUGUGCAACCUGAAAGUGAAACCAGAACUGAGAUAUCACUCGUAACAUCCAGGAGCAGAACGCACUAAGUGGGUCUCAGACUGCAGCUGCUGCAAAGCCUGUAGUGCCCAGGGACACUGAGAAAGAUGGUUUUCUGAACCCCUUUUUUUGUCUUGGUUCAAAGCUCCCUUCGUGAGGCCUUUUUGGUGAUAAGACUCUAACUGACAACUGCGAAUUAUCUAGAGGGGCAAGUGGUGGGUGUCACCAUGGCACAGUACUUCUGCCUGUGACUGUAAGAAGCGGGACAAGCAGUCUUUUUUGAGAGUGCAGCUUGAAGGAGCAGACCACUGCAAAAGGUGAUAAUGCUUGUGCAUGGCAACGAAGGCACCAUGCUGGCUUAUCUGUUGGGCCAGGUGUAUCAUGCUAACAGAGAGAAAAGAAGAAGAAGAAAGAAAACUGAGAAGUGGGGGAUAAAAAGCCCCUGCUAAACUAAGGACUUUGGAGGGGAAGAACUCGCACAGAAACCUUUGGCAGAGGCAUUCCCUAAGAGGAAAAAAAACUCUUAGGAAAGAACUCCCUGGGGCCUGCUUGCUGUUACGACACAGAGCUUCCUGUCUUUCUCCCAUCCCUCAUGGUGACCAGAGAUCUUGGGAUCAACGGAUGCACUACGAACAACGCUGGACCCAUGUUGGUGCCCAAGCAUAGAGUGGCAUCCCAUCUCUUCACCCUAGAGAAGCAGAAGGUGAACUCUGAGCUUCUCAGCACCAUCGUCCCCUUUGCUCUACUGUGUCACACUCCCUCCAAUCCCUCUAAAUGUACCAUUCUGAAAGCAGAGCUGGCUUGGGCUCUUCACCUUUUCCUUCUGCAUCCAGAGCGGGACCUGGCUCCAGCAGAGCUGUUCAGGCUAAGGAAGUCAGAAAUAUUUCUGACAGAUGUAUUGUCACAACUGAUAAAGCAGAAGUACAGAAGAUGUGGAAGCCAAGUGGUGUGUGGAGUAGAGGUUUAUGCAGAGAUCUGCCAAGAUCAAUUAAAAUUCCAGGCACUCAUGGUGCUUAAGAGGUCCAAGGAUCUGGACAGUUCUUGGCCUUUUGGCCCCUCCUUUGCACUAAUGAGACCAGGACAAUGAUGGAAAUGGAAAUACAGGGAGGAGGGGAAGAGGCCGUUGCAGCUCUUGGGACUUGAGGACGAUGGGUGCUCACUCUGUGAUACUUUACAGCUUCAAGUGGGGGCAUGUUCUCCAAAUGGAUGGGGUGGAUAGGAAAGCUGUUAUAGUUUGCAACACCUGCAUGUUCAGAACACAAGCCUUUGGCCGUGGAGAGCAGCAUCAGCAAACACUCAAGUGCGAAAUGCAUGGCAUGUCCCUGGCAAGAGGUAAGGUGCUGUGCUCCACUGCUCUUUUCGGAGUGGUUUUCCAGGUCACUCUCACAUGCAUCCAUCUCUGGUGUUUCCCCAGGGAUUCAGGGCCUGGAGCACUUCUGCAGUGAGGAAAGCCUGAAAGCACUGGGUUGUAGAGAGAGGUUCUAGAGUUCUUUCCCUGAGGUUCUUCAGAAGUCAGCUGGACAUGAGUCUGGGAAACCUACUCUGAGUGGACCUGCAGGAGGGUUUGGACCAGAUCAUGCAAUCAUAGAAUCAUUUAGGUGUGAAAAGACCAUCAGGUACAACCAUUAACCUACACCUGCCUGAACACAGAAUCGCAGAACCAUAGAAUUGCAGAAUUGUAGAUUCAUAGAUUUAUAAACACCAUACAAUCACAGAAUUGCAAAAUUCAUGGAGUUAUUUAGAUUGGUAAAGAGCUGGAAGAACAUGUUCAGCCGUCACCUAACACAACAAGUCCACUACUAGACUCUGUCCCUAAAUGCCCCAUCCACAUACCUCUUAUGUCCCUCAAGAGACGAGGAGUUCUGCAGCAUCUGAGGCACAGACUCAGAUGUGAAUGAUCCAAAUCAUUUAUUACAGGUUCUAACAUCCCUUAUAUACAUUCACAAGUUUUCGCUUUUAACUUUCCUACCCACCUUUACACGUCAACAAAACGUUCCACAAACACUCCUUAACCAUGCAUGCAGGUGCUUAUCCAAUUAGAGCCAUGACUUGUUCCCAGCCAUGAGCUCCUCCUCCAAUCAGUGUCAUCAUCACUUAGCUUACUUGACUUUGUUUUUCUCUUCUUCUGGAGAUGUCCUUGGUUCUCAGCCUUGCUUUCUCCUGCUGUUCAUCUUGCUCCGCAGCUUCUGCUCUGAAUAAUCUUUCUUGUACUCCCACAAUUCCUCCCUUUUUGUUUAUUAGCAAACUAUUAACACACUACAAACUAAUAACACAAAUGAUAUUAAUAACAUAAUCACACCUUGUACACAGCAUUCCGACAGCCUCAUUUAGAGCUUUCUCCUUCGUUUUGUAUAACAUUUUGUAACGGUAUUGCUGGAUGCAUUUAAGUUAACAUGACUCGAUCAAAGCUUUGAUUGUGUGAGAAACAUUCAGAAUCAAAGAUUUCUAAUAGGCAAAGAUCUUAGUGAGAGCAGCAAAAUUAUAUUAAUUGUUGCAAUUAUGGGCGCAUACCCCCUACUGGCAAGGGAGAAAUUGCACACCUAGUCAGUGGAAUUCAUCCAUUACAUACCCUGGACCCAACGCAGAUAACAACUCUCCUGGUGCUCAUUAGUUGAGCAUCUCAGGCUCACAAUCUUCCCAACGCUGUUGCUAUGAUACAUUUCCGUAUGAGAACUGUUACCAAACUGCUGUCUUUUUGGUAUGAUUGUACUUGGAAGCACAUCUGUUCUGUUUCAUAUUUUGAUAGGAAGGCAAUAUUUCAAAGUCAGCAUAUUCGUUCCAUCCUGUGCUUGGCUCUCCCUAUACUGUCCUCUACCAGGCUCCCCCCAUCCUGCGUACCUUCCUUAUCUUCCCAUCCUCAACUUCACUCUAUUCACCAGUUUUUAACAGUCUCACAAGACGGUUGUAAGUUCAGUAAUGGCCUACACUAUAUACAGAAACUACUGGUUACAAAUUCAGUAAGGGCCUACACUAUAUAUAGAAAAAACUGUUUUAUGAGAGCGUUAUAAAUUCAGUAAGUGCCCAUACUAUAUAUAGAAAAUACUGGACACUUCCACUGCAAAAACACGAUCUACCUCUCACAAUUCUUAACACGCUGAACAUAAGAAGAGUCGAGGCAAACAUAGCAUAAUGACAAGAAAUACUAUCAGACCCAUUAAGAAAAGAAAAAACACAUGUUUGACCAAUGGUCCAAGUUUUUGUAACCUGGAAAAGAAUCCUGAGGGUCCCAUUCUGUGUGUACCUGUCACUGAUUAGAAAAAAUCUUCAACUUUUGUAUACUCUGAUAUAUUGAUUUUGAAUGAUCACUAAGGUUCAUACAGCACAUGCCUUUAAAGUUUUCAAAACCAUGCACUUGGGCUAAUAAUAGAAAAUCAAUGGCCUCAUGAUUUCAUAAUGUUGCAUGUUGGAUAUAAUCAAUGUCAGUGGACAAACCUGCUAGAGCAUCACUAGUGGCAUUGCUUUCCUUAGCCAGCUAACAUCCUAACUUGGUGAGUGUGGCUAAAGCUGAGCAGUGCUGUUUCAGGGUAGAUUUUGAAUCUGAGAGGCAGGAUGUCUCAGGAGCAGAGGCAAGCAAGCUGUGCACUCAGAGCAGCACAGAGGGUUACGAGUUUUAGUUAACAUACACACACACACACACACACACACACACAUCCAUUUUAGAUAAUCCUGUAAGAGGGAAUCAGAAACUCCCUAAACAAGUGCAUUAUUAUUUACCGACCCCAAGAGAUGGCAAACCACCAGAAAGGAGAGAGAAGGACCAUGCCGGCAGUGGAUGCACUAGGCAGUGCCAGCAGGGUGUCCCCUGCUUCAAGGGGAACUUUUCCUCUCUCACCCAUCACAGACUCUCUUCUGUUUUUAUUCUUCUCAGAGUCUGCAGGGUUUUUUCCAUUUGUAUACUGCAACUGCAUGGCCAGUGCGUCAUACAGAGCCCAAGUGGAGUACCUGCUUGCAAAACAAAAUAAACUACCAAGGCCAGCUCUCUCUACAAAACAAAAUAUUUGCAGCUAUAGCCACAAAUAUUAGUUCCCUUAAAACUAUCAGAAUACUUUUUUCCAUCCCAAGAUCAUUCUUCAGUGAGGGGCCUUUGGAUCCCUGAUAUAGGUUCCAAUUGAAGGGACCAGUGAACCAAAAAAUCUGUCGAGCAAUAUUUCCGAAUUCUAUGUUAGAAUUGUAUGUUGAAUCAAAGUCAGAUAGUAUGUGCCUUUGUCUCGAGUGAUGCAUGGUCAUAUUUUUUAAAUCCUGAUUAGUGAGAUAGUGAGAUGAAAGAGAGUUUAUCGUUCUGUAAUACAGGGUCAUCCCUUUGCCUGGGAUUCCUUUCCAGGUUUUGUCUUUGUAAAUUAAGAAAAGGCUAAUUGAUAGGUUAAUAGCAUCAUAACUGAGCAUUACUGAUAAUGGGGUGGUGAAAUUACACUAAAAGAGCUAUUCCCAUAGAUUCCAGCACCGGUAACAUCAAAUCCUGUUCAAUUCACAUUUGAUCUACUACUAAAAUAGAAGAAGAAGCACACAGCAAACUAGAUAAUGCCUAAUAAUUCUUAUUCUUGAGGCUGCAUCUGUAACACAGGAAAAUCACCCACUUUUGUAAUACCAUUACCAGUGUUGUUAUUGUGAUACCAUUCGGUGGGUAAUCCAGCCAUUUUUUGUCACUUACUAUGGCACCCAUAAGUUAUCUACAAUACAAAAAAUUGCAGAACAAUACCAAUAAGUAAGAAACAUCAUUAUGAGGGCUGGAUGUUAUUCUCUGUAACAUCAGUGUAAAUGUAUCACACUGGAACACACCUAUGACCAGUCCCUGUGGAAACACAAGCAUAGCCACAACCCAAGUUGCCAGUGCUAAGGGACCUUCCCAAUGUCCUGUGGCCAUAUCCCGAGCAUUAAUCAUUGGCCAUUCUUAGAGGAUUGGGGAGGCCUCAAAAUGAUGGUCUGCUUCGAGCUGUAUCUGCAUGAUCACGAUUCAAAAAAUUCAGCACGAGCAAAGUCUUACAUAAUCUUUCUUGUGGUCUGUCUUCCAUAUUCCCCUUUUUUUGUUUAUUAAGAGUAUGUUUCAGUGUGUGAUGAGCACAUUCAAUGAUAGCUUGUCCAGUGGGAGAAUGAGGAAUGCCUAUAGCAUGUCUAAGCCCCCAUUACUGGAGGAAAAUCUGAGUGGCCUUAGAAGUAUAUGCAGGUCCAUUAUCUGUUUUUAUAGUAUAUGUGAUCCCCAUGGCAGCAUAAGCAGAUAACCAAUGUUCACAGGCAUCGCAACUCUGUUUGCCUGUAUGCGCUGUGGCAAACAUGUAAGAAGAAUAAGUAUCUAUUGUUACAUGCACAUAUUUUAGAUGGCAAAUUUAUCAACAUGAGCGACAUCUGUUUGCCAGAGCUGAAGCGGUGCUGUGUCACGGGUGUUUGUUCCUAUUUGAGGCAAAGGGGCAAUUGCCUGGCAGUCUGGGCAUGUUACAAUAAUGUUACGGGCUUGAUCCGCAGUCAGUUGGAAUUGUUUUUGUAAGGCUCUCCUAUUCUGAUGGAAAAACUGAUGGGAGAGUUGUGCUUGUGGAAAUAAUUGAGGGGUAGCAAAGGCGACUGUGGCUUGAUCAGCCUUACGGUUGCCCUCAGCUGAAGGACCAGGCAACAUAGUGUGUGAUCGAAUAUGCAUAAUAAGAAAAGGAAAAGUAUGGUGAGAGACAUAAUGCAAACAAGGCAGGUUUGUUCACUUCCUUAAGAAAAUAUCCUUCAAUCUGCUGAAUGAUACCUGUAACGUACAAAGAGUCAGUCAUUAUAUUAAGCUUUUGUUCUGCAAAAGUUUGAAAAGCUCAAGCCACUGCAGCAAGUUCUACAACUUCAGGUGACCCGUCGAUGAUAUGCACAUCUGACCGCCAUCGUGUAGCAGUCGCACGCCAGAUAACCACUGCUCAGUGUGUCUUGCCGGAGCCAUCUGUGUAUACAGUAACAGUAUUAGGUAUUGGAACAUGUGAAAGUAAAAUAGUUGUAGCAAGGGAUAGAUUACUCAAAUUUUGCAGUAACUGAUGUUUGGGGGGAUGUGUGGAGUUUUGUCCAGUAGAGUCAGCCAUAGCAGUUUGUAAAGAGAGCGAAUGUGCAAGCAUCCGAUUUAAAUCUUUUUUAGUAGUGGGUAUGUAGAUGCAAUCAGGAUCAAAAGCUCGCAAAAUGUGUAGACGAUGUUGACCUUGCUGUAUUAACAUUGCAAACAUCUCCACUCGUGAUGUAAUGGUUUUUGAAAAUGUAUGUGGUAAGAAUUUCCAUUGGAGGAUGAUGAAAGGAUCUUUUCUGGAGGUAUCCCAUUGACAUAACAAACGAUAUGUUGAUAAGAGUUUGAUAUUAUUAUAAGAGAUACUGUGACAAACGAGCACGAUGGCUGUACUGAUGUUGCAAUGACGUUAUUAGAGUCUAAGCAUUGUAGUGCUUUUGGUGUUAAUUGUCUUUUCGAGGUUAGAUCUGGGUCUCCUUUGAGUAGUUGAAAUAGAAGUUGAAGCUCUCGAGUAGUAAUACCUAAAGGUUGACCCAACCACUUGAUGGUUGCUGAUGAUUUUUGCAGAUCAUUUAAUGUCUGCAUGUGAGAUAUUAUAUUGAGGAUUUACUGAA